CGUGUAGGCGGUUUAAUAAGUCAGAUGUAAAAGCCCCCGGCUCAACCGGGGAUGGUCAUUUGAAACUGUUAGGCUUGAGUGCGAGAGAGGGUAGUGGAAUUCCCAGUGUAGCGGUGAAAUGCGUAGAUAUUGGGAAGAACACCAGUAGCGAAGGCAGCUACCUGGCUCGCAACUGACGCUAAGGCGCGAAAGCGUGGGGAGCAGACA
rnacentral:rRNA from 1 species